rnacentral:tRNA from 1 species
AUCUCUGUGGUCUAGUGGUUAGGACAUUGCGUUGUGGCCUCACUAACCCAUGUUCGAACCCUGGCAGCGACA